AGAGUUUGAUCCUGGCUCAGAAUGAACGUUGGCGGCGUGGAUUAGGCAUGCAAGUCGAGCGAGAAGCUUAAAUUUGAUCUUUCGAGUGAAGAUUUGAGUGGACAGCGGCGAAAGGGAGAGUAACGAGUAGAUUACGUACCUGAGGGUUCAGGAUAGCGGGGGGAAACCGCCGGUAAUACUGAAUAAUGUUUCCGAACCAAAGAUUUAUCGCCCUCGGAGCGGUUUGCUUACUAUUAGUUUGUUGGUGGGGUAAAGGCCUACCAAGGCUAAGAUGGUUAGCGGGUGUGAGAGCAUGGCCCGUCUCACUGGGACUGAGACACUGCCCAGACACCUACGGGUGGCUGCAGUCGAGAAUCUUCCGCAAUGGACGAAAGUCUGACGGAGCGACGCCGCGUGCGGGAUGAAGGCCUUCGGGUUGUAAACCGCUGUCGUAGGGGAGGAAAUUUUGACCGAUCCUAGGAGGAAGCACAGGCUAAGUUCGUGCCAGCAGCCGCGGUAAUACGAACUGUGCGAACGUUAUUCGGAAUCACUGGGCUUAAAGGGUGCGUAGGCGGCUAUGAAGGUCAGGUGUGAAAUCCCACGGCUCAACCGUGGAACUGCGCCUGAAACCACGUAGCUUGAGGAAGUCAGAGGUAAGCGGAACUGAUGGUGGAGCGGUGAAAUGCGUUGAUAUCAUCAGGAACACCGGUGGCGAAAGCGGCUUACUGGGACUUUUCUGACGCUGAGGCACGAAAGCCAGGGGAGCGAACGGGAUUAGAUACCCCGGUAGUCCUGGCUGUAAACGAUCUGUACUAGUCUGUGGGGACUUCCACAUCCUCUCGGACGUAGCGAAAGUGUUAAGUACAGCGCCUGGGGAGUAUGGUCGCAAGGCUGAAACUUAAAGGAAUUGAUGG
rnacentral:rRNA from 1 species